UGUAUGCACGUGCAUACAUGCAUUAUAGUCAUACAUGUAUGUGUGCCUGUGUAUGUAUAUA
rnacentral:miRNA from 1 species